rfam:Amycolatopsis halophila YIM 93223 genomic scaffold AmyhaDRAFT_Scaffold1.1, whole genome shotgun sequence.
GCAUGUGGAUGUCGUGAGGCCUCUGUCCGCACGGGAAUGACCCUGGUGCACCUUCCCCGGCACCAGGUUCACAGCGGAGCGGGCGGGGACCUGACGGCACCCACGCCACAGU